GCUGAGUGGAAGAAAAUAGAGGGGCAACUGGGGCUGCAUAUCCAUUGCUACGUGAGUGGUCCCAAUCUAAUGCUAGACCUUGCUGCUGAGUUAAGAUAUCAUAUAUUCUCCAAGGAAAUGGCUUUGGUAAGUGUUUUCCUUGACAAUGUACAUUCGGUGCUAUACGUUCCUUGCUAUCAGUUCUCCAGAGGGAUUUAGGAUUCAUGACUAUUUUUCUUCAUUGUUUUCCAUGCUUAUAUAUACCAUUAAUUUCUAGUAAAUCUAGAGAUAAUUGUCAUGGCUGGAUUAAUAAUCUUGGCUAGAACCUUUGAUUUGGCGUAAGCCAGGUACUUGAAGCCGUGUUACAUGGAGAUUCAGUACUACUCAGAGAGCAUCCUGAGCUAAUGGAAGCAUUGGUUUGGGUAUAUUUCCAUUCU
rnacentral:misc_RNA from 1 species